rnacentral:rRNA from 1 species
CCUACGGGAGGCAGCAGUGGGGGAUAUUGCACAAUGGGGGGAACCCUGAUGCAGCGACGCCGCGUGGGUGAAGAAGCGCCUCGGCGCGUAAAGCCCUGUCAGCCGGGGAGAAAAUGACGGUACCUGAAGGAGAAGCACCGGCUAACUACGUGCCAGCAGCCGCGGUACUGCGUAGGGGGCAGGGGUUAUCCGGAUUUACUGGGGGUAAAGGGGGCGCAGGCGGCGAUGAAAGCCAGGAGUGAAAGCCCGGGGCCCAACCCCGGGACUGCUGUUGGAACUGCGUGGCUGGAGUGCAGGAGGGGCAGGCGGAAUUCCUGGUGUAGCGGUGAAAUGCGUAGAUAUCAGGAGGAACACCGGUGGCGAAGGCGGCCUGCUGGACUGCAACUGACGUUGAGGCCCGAAAGCGUGGGGAGCAAACAGGAUUAGAUACCCCAGUAGUC